rnacentral:rRNA from 1 species
UAGAUGCGAGAGUAGAGCAUAUCAAUAAGCGGAGGAAAAGAAACUAACUAGGAUUCCCUCAGUAACGGCGAGUGAAGCGGGAAGAGCUCAAAUUUGAAAUCUUCAAGGUUCUACCUUGACGAAUUGUAGUUUAAAGAAGUGUUUUCUGUUGGAGUUUUGGUAAAAGUUCUUUGGAAUAGGACAUCGUAGAGGGUGAGAAUCCCGUAUUUGACCAUUAUUUCCAACUUUAUGAUACACUUUCAAAGAGUCGGAUUGUUUGGGAAUGCAGUCCAAAAUGGGUGGUAAAUUUCAUCUAAAGCUAAAUACUGGCGAGAGACCGAUAGCGAACAAGUACCGUGAGGGAAAGAUGAAAAGAACUUUGAAAAGAGAGUUAAACAGUACGUGAAAUUGUCAAAAGGGAAGCGUUUGACACCAGUGUUGUUUUCUCGAAAAUCAAUUAAAAAUAAAUUUGAUUUUGUGUUGUAUUGACCUUAAAAGCUUUCUUCACUCUUUUCAUUGUCUAUUUUUAAUGCACUUUUCGUUUAACAAGUCAACAUCAGUUUCUUUUGUUGUAAAAGGGUCAUUGGAAGGUGGCUUUCUUUUCGGAGAAAGUGUUUAUAGCCUUUGAUCUCUGCAAUCCGGAGAGACUGAGGUCUGCAGCGUAGACUCUUCUGGAUUAGAUACAUUUGUGCUAAGCUAUAGCUUUGUAUAGACAACUUGUUGACUAUAUUUAGUCUUGUAGCUUACUCGCUUAUGCUAUUUUACCUACGCUUAGGAUGUUGACGCGCGUGUGUGCGUG